rnacentral:rRNA from 2 species
UGAGACAGUUCGGUCCCUAUCUGCCGUGGGCGCUGGAGAAUUGAGGGGGGCUGCUCCUAGUACGAGAGGACCGGAGUGGACGCAUCACUGGUGUUCGGGUUGUCAUGCCAAUGGCACUGCCCGGUAGCUAAAUGCGGAAGAGAUAAGUGCUGAAAGCAUCUAAGCACGAAACUUGCCCCGAGAUGAGUUCUCCCUGAGACUAUAAGUCUCCUGAAGGAACGUUGAAGACGACGACGUUGAUAGGCCGGGUGUGUAAGCGCAGCGAUGCGUUGAGCUAACCGGUACUAAUGAACCGUGAGGCUUAACCUU